CAGCAGCCGCGGUAAUACAGAGGGUGCAAGCGUUAAUCGGAUUUACUGGGCGUAAAGGGCGCGUAGGUGGUUAUGUAAGUGAGAUGUGAAAUCCCCGGGCUCAACCUGGGAACUGCAUCUUAUACUGCGUAGCUUGAGUGCAGUAGAGGGUAGUGGAAUUUCCGGUGUAGCGGUGAAAUGCGUAGAUAUCGGAAGGAACACCAGUGGCGAAGGCGGCUACCUGGACUGACACUGACACUGAGGCGCGAAAGCGUGGGGAGCAAACAGGAUUAGAUACCCCCGUAGUCCCUGUCUCUUAUAC
rnacentral:rRNA from 1 species